GACGAACGCUGGCGGCGUGCCUAAUACAUGCAAGUCGAGCGAAAAGACGAUGCGCUUGCUCGUCUCUCGUUAGCGGCGCACGUGUGAGUCACAUGUGUAAAACCUCCCUAUCAGACUGAUAUCACCACGGGACUCCGGAUAUUACACCGUAUAAUCUCUUGCUGCGUAUGGGUCAUUAGUAAGAUUCGGUUUUUGUGUCUCUUCUCGCUGGAUCUCGGCCGCAUUAGCUGGUUGGUAAGGUAACGGCCUACCAAGGGGAUGAUGCGUAGCCGACCUGAGAGGGUGAUAGGCCGCACUGGAGCUGAGACACGGUCAAGGCUCCUGCGGGAGGCAGCAGUAGGGAAUCGUCCGCAAUGGGCGGAAGCCUGACGGAGCAGCGGCACGUGAGUGAUGAAGGUCCUCGGAUCGUAAAACUCUGUUAUUAGGGAAGAACAACUGUGUACUUAACCAUGCACGUCUUGACGGUACCUAAUCAGAAAGCCCCGGCUAACUACGUG
rnacentral:rRNA from 1 species